CAUAUAUAAAUAUAAAGAUGUUUAUUUGUAAAUUCAAGAGAAAAGGUCUGGAAAGUUACCAAUCAAAUUUUUAACAGUGUUUGCUUUGAGGAAGGGAGUGAGAUGGGAGCAGGUGGACAAUGAAAGAGAACUUCAUUCUUUACUCUCUGUAUUUUCA